UGUUGUGUAGUUGUGUCCACUUGUAUUAUGAUCGAGCGUUCGAUUUCAAUUAUAUCUCGUAAUUCAUAGUGUUCGUACUCCGCGUACUCGUAGACCGUAGUCAACUAUGUAAUAAAAAAUAGAAAUUAGUAAAAAUCAUUUAUUAUGUGGACAAUUAUAAAAUUCAAAGAAGAAAUUGUAUUUAAUUAUUGGUUUAAAAAUGACAAUUUUGACUGGUCUAAAAAGUGUAUAAGAAAGAAAAAUAUUUUGAUUGAUAUUGUAGUAUAUCACCACUUUAGAAAUCCAUUUCCAGUAUUACUCGCACCCUAACAUCGCUGUUUGUUACUUAAGUUGAGAUCCUAGUAUUUAAAUUAACUAAUACCCGUGGAAUUAUUUAACUCUAUCUACAAAUGUUAUGAUUAUUUGCUAUUGAAAUAUUAUGUAUAUUAUAUUUUAUAUCAAUAAGCAAUUGUACAUCAUUCAACAAUUGCUAUUCACUCUGUUCACCUUCAACCAACUUCCUCAAAUCCAAACGUAAGACCGACAAGCAUUCUCAGAAGUAUUAUUAAGCAAGUACCUGAGGUCACUACAACAUAGGUGCUAUAUCAAGUGAACUAGAAUUUCAAGGGAAGUUAGUUUACAUGAUGCACAGUCAGGAAGAUGAUAAGUCAACUUGUGGACAAUGUGCUGUGCCUACUUAUAAUUUAUAUGGAUAAAAAAAAAAAAAAAAAUGCCAAAGAUUAAUAUAUACUACAAUAGUAGUAACUUGUCUGAAAAUUAUAUUGAAGGUCUUUUCUUGCAUUUAAUAUUAUUGAUAAUAAAGGUAAUGCAUUUAACAAAAGUAAUUUAAAAAUUAAGUGAUUACUAUUAUCACAAAUUUAAAAAUUUCUUAAAUUUCUACAUUUUUCUAAAGAUCAUCAUUAUUUGUAAUAAUGAUAAUCGUCACAAUAACAAUAACAUAGAUAAAAGUUACAUUUCAGAUUUAAAACAUCUAAAUACAUUUAUAUACUGGUAUUAAAAGAAAAUUAUACUUCAUGUUACUAUUAUAAAAUAUUUUACAAAAUUUAAUAUUUUGCUAGCUCUUUGUUACAAAUUCCAAUGCUAUGGAAAUGAUUAAAUAUCAAAACUAAAUUAGGUACCUUACAAAAUGAAUAUAAAAAAUGCUAAAUAUUGUAUAAAAAUUACCUUUUUAUGUAAA